UACGUAGGGGGCAAGCGUUGUCCGGAGUUACUGGGCGUAAAGCGCACGCAGGCGGUGCUCGGCGUUCCUGCUGACAGUCGUCGGCUUCACUGACGAAGGAGUGGGAAAACGGGAGCACUUGAGGGCUUCAGAGGGACACGGAAUUCCGGGUGGAGUGGUGAAAUGCAUAGAUAUCCGGAGGAACACCAACAGCGAAGGCAGUGUCCUGGGAAGUGUCUGACGCUCAGGUGCGAAAGCCAGGGGAGCGAACGG
rnacentral:rRNA from 1 species